rnacentral:SRP_RNA from 1 species
GCCGGGCGCGGUGGGGCGUGCCUGUAGUCCCAGCUACUCGGGAGGCUGAGGUGGGAGGAUCGCUUGAGCCCAGGAGUUCUGGGCUGUAGUGCCCUAUGCCGAUCGGAUGUCCGCACUAAGUUCGGCAUCAAUAUGGUGACCUUCCGGGAGCAGGGGACCACCAGGUUGCCUAAGGAGGGGUGAACCGGCCCAGGUCGGAAACGGAGCAGGUCAAAACUCCCGUGCUGAUCAGUAGUGGGAUCGCACCUGUGAAUAGCCACUGCACUCCAGCCUGGGCAACAUAGCGAGACCCCGUCUCUA